rnacentral:ncRNA from 1 species
AAACAAGCGAUGAUGAGGACAUGGGCGCAUUUUUACGGUUUCCAGAGAGGGAAGGCGUUGGCUGGAACCUUCCUAACACGAAAAAUGUGCUUACCCCCUCAGAGCUGCGGCAGCGAACGCGACGUCUAGUAGUUGCCGCCGGUCGACGGCCGUUAUAUGUGUUGAGCCAUGGCUUUGUUUUUGCCAUGGGAAGAAGGGUGGAACCACGACAAAAACUCGUCCCUUUA